UGCGGAUGUGGUGAAAUUGGUAGACACGCUAGAUUUAGGUUCUAGUAAGAUUAUCUUGUGAGAGUUCGAGUCUCUCCAUCCGCAA
rnacentral:tRNA from 1 species